AAUACACAAUGUGAUUUCUAAUAAUAGUCCUAAGAAAAUAUUACUUUAUACUUUGCCCUAAAAUUGUUUACACCUUUUCGACCUGUUAUCUCCCAAAGCCACCAUGAUCCAAACUUAUAGUCACUGAUCGUUCUUCCCUGUGUUGGGGACGAUACACAGAAAAACUCUCAGCUUUUUACAAAAUAAUAAAGGUCUGGCAUGCGUUGGCUCUUAGUCUAAUAGUAAGUAUGUAUUUAUUU